UGAGGAUCGAACCGGCAACCUUCCGGUCACGAGCCUGGAUCCCUAACCUCCAGCCCACGACUGCCCCAAAAAAGCAAAAACGGUUCUAUUUCCAUUUUCUGGACUAAAGAACCCUAGAACCAUUCUUUUUAAGAUUGUAAGCAAGUGUCUCCUUCCGUACAUACAGUCAUGGAAGGUCUGUGAACAUUUUUCCGUGCAUGCCGUGUCAGUUUGCUUCACUGCUGCAUUGAGCGGGUGCAUCCUUUACAGUCAAUAGUAUUAGUGUUGUGUUAAUGUAUGUUGGCAGAAGUGCUGGAACAGGUAUAAUGAUGGAUGCACCGCUGUGAGGCUGUAGUCUGAUGUUAUUUAAUGCAUUUGCAAAAUGUAACUACCCGCCCAAAAGGUGGACACUUUUUUUCCCAAGCCUUCCCAAAACAUUAUUUCUGUCUGCACCUUAUGUCCAGGGAUGGGGGAGUAGAUAAGAAGUGUGCUGCAUUUUGUAGUUAACUACAAUAUUAGUAGCUUUCACUACAGUUUCACUACAGGCUUCAGUCAAUAUGUGCAAAUUGAACCACAGAACAUUGUCGUUAACCGGGCUGGUGCCGGUCGUACAAUCCUGACAGAGCCGCGGACAGUUUGAACAAACGGUCAUGCGCUGAUCACCACUUACUAAUAAGCUUAGCUCAGGGGUCACAACCCAAUUGAUAAGAAGAGCCGUUUUGUCCUUUCAGCAAAAAAUCAAACCACCUUGGGAGGCACGACACCUUAUAUCUGUUUUACCAUCGUGUCUGUAAACAUGUCUCAGAACGUGCUGAUGUUCUAGUUCAGGUUAAAAACUUAAAUAAUUGCAAACUCAGACUUAUUUUGCUCUGUAGCCACUUUUCCCGCACCUCAGGAAACUUCUCCACGAGUUUCUUGCAAAAUGUCUCUCAAUGUUUGACUUUUUUACGAGGCUGAAGUCGCUUUUCAUCCUCCGGCUUCUCGCUGGUGGAGCGGGAGAAUUCGAACGAGAAGCAGGAGAAUGAGAAGGAACUUCAGCUUGGUCCGCGUUGCUAUGGUGACCAGCAGUCUGCACAUCAGUCUCCAGGGUUAAAGGCUUGACCAACGUUUAACUGACCUGUCCAGGAAGACCUUUCACAGAGGAAUCAAAAGAACACAAUGGAGGAGAGAGAAAAAAUCAUAGAAGAAAGACAGAAGCUUCUGAAUCAGAAAGAAAUUAAUUUUCUAGAAAGAGAAAAGCGUUUGGACGGAAGAGAGAGACAGACAGACCCAAGACCGCGUGUCUUGUCUGGGAGAAGUCAUUGGGACGACCUAGAUGAUAUUUCAACUCGAGAAAGUUUUUCAAUUAGCCCACCCCCCAUAAGAAGAAGAAGAAGCAUUGCUGAACCUCCAGACUUGGGAAAAGAAAAAAGCCCACCAAAGCCAGACAAACCUGCAACUGAACCUGACCCUGUUGUCGUGAGCUGAGUUCAAUGUGGAAGUUCAGCCUAGAGAUUCUGGAGAUGACACCAACCAGAAAUCACAUUGGAAGCCUUUAGCACAAUUGCAGUUUUCCCAUUUUCAUGUUUUUAUUGACAGUUUAUCUUGCAGAGAUAAAGAUCAAGAUUUGUCCCACAUAAUGAGUCUCAUAAAAUUACAAAGGAACAUAUGCACCCUUUAGGUCUUCUGGGCACCACCAUCCCAUCAAAUCUAAUAAGAGGUUUUUGUAAAAUUACCUUUAAAAAGUAACAAUGAAAAGCUAAAGACAAAUGAAAAAAAAACCCUCACAGAAUAACCCACAAUUUCCUUCAGUCAAACCAGAAAAGUUGGCAUAUAUGGAUACUGGUUCCAAAAAUGUCAACUAUUUCGCCUCCGUUUUGUUAUCCUAUUUGUAGGAUCAGUGGUUGUGAUUAUGUUUGUGUGACUAAGUUUUCAGGUGUCUGAAAUUGAUCUGAUCAUUCGGCUCAGUUGGAACCUGUUUGGGAAGCUAAUUGGCCAUCGCCUCCCUUCUCACAUUGCACUUCAAACAUCAAUCAAAGAAGCUGAAAUGCAGCCCAAUCAUGAAAUUCAACCAGUUAUGAAUAAAUUGGGCUUGAAAUCACAGCAUCAAUAUGCUUUUAUCUCUGUGCUCUGGUUAAAGUACACAUGACCUGGACAAAUCAUGUAAAGUAACAUUUUGAAUAAUAUACAAGAAAUGACCAUCGGGAAUCACAUGUAUUAUCUUGCUAUCUUAGCUUUCUGUUACUAGCAGUGUGUAGUGCUGUAUUAAGCUUAAUGUCACCAUAAAAUAUGAAAAAUAUUGAAUAAACACUCUUUGCAUGUAAA